rnacentral:rRNA from 1 species
GNUGCUAUCCGGACNACNUUUGGAACCGCAUGGUUCUAAGUGAAAGAUGGUUUUGCUAUCACUUAUAGAUGGACCCGCGCCGUAUUAGCUAGUUGGUAAGGUAACGGCUUACCAAGGCNACGAUACGUAGCCGACCUGAGAGGGUGAUCGGCCACACUGGAACUGAGACACGGUCCAGACUCCUACGGGAGGCAGCAGUAGGGAAUCUUCCGCAAUGGGCGAAAGCCUGACGGAGCAACGCCGCGUGAGUGAUGAAGGGUUUCGGCUCGUAAAACUCUGUUAUUAGGGAAGAACAAAUGUGUAAGUAACUGUGCACAUCUUGACGGUACCUAAUCAGAAAGCCACGGCUAACUACGUGCCAGCAGCCGCGGUAAUACGUAGGUGGCAAGCGUUAUCCGGAAUUAUUGGGCGUAAAGCGCGCGUAGGCGGUUUCUUAAGUCUGAUGUGAAAGCCCACGGCUCAACCGUGGAGGGUCAUUGGAAACUGGNAACUUGAGUGCAGAAAGGAAAGUGGAAUCCAUGUGUAGCGGUGAAUGCGCANANAUNUGGAGAACACAGUGGCGAAGCGACUUCUGUCUGUACUGACGCUAUGUNNAANCGUGGGAUCAACNGAUANAUCCUGGUAGUCNCCCGUAACAUNGNCUAGNGUAGGGGUUCGCCCUUAUGNNCACUACCAUAGNCCCGCGGGAUCACCAGUAACNAAGAUGCGGACCCCACGNGACAGGUUAUCACCCAACUCACUGNNCUGACUAANNCUCUGGNAGNGGNNGUCCCNNCGAUGUACCCCCCUNUUCUAUGCUUUNGACGNGGNCANUCUUGNCGAGAAGNACGCACAU